UGGAGUCUCACUAUGCUGCUCAAGGUGGUCUCAAACUCCUCGGCUUAAGUGAUCCCUCUGCCUCAGCUUCCUAAGUGCUGUCAUUACAGUUAACAAAACCCGCACAAAGAAGACUCUCAGGAAAUGCUGGCUGAAUGACAGAAUGAACAUUGAUAAAUGAAGACUUCUUCAAAUAACUGAUGCUAGACAUCUCUAAAUAUAUCAGAAAUAACAUGUGACCAUGACAUCAUUCAUCAUUUUUCCAUCAAAACAUUUGAAAAUAACUUGGAUUCAUUUAUUAGAGCUUUAUUUUCCCACAUCUUGCAGUACCCUAGAGUUCUACAGUAAUUAACCUUAUGCUGAAUGGCAGAGGACAUGCACUAAGCUCCUAUUUAAAAUCUAUUCAUGAUGCAUUUUAAAUAUUCAGUAGAGACUUCUUAAACAUGCAGCCAUAGUCUAUUGAAAAUGGAUUUCCUAAAGCCAGGAGAUUGGAUAUUAAUAUCUGGCAUUCGUAUAAAGACAGGUUUUUGUUAACCUAUUAUAAAAAGGACUGAUGAUGUGAUUAUAUACUGUUUACUAGCUCACUUAUAUUUCUGUGCUAAUAAUUACUGUAACCCAUUUGUUUAGUUUUUUUAUUUUAUUUUCAUUAAGCAUUGUUUUUAAAAUUUUUUUAUCUUAGCUUAUGUUUGAUUUAUGUUUUUGAUUGAAUAAAGGUUGUUUGUUAAUAUAGAAU
rnacentral:lncRNA from 10 species